CCACCUCUGGCAUCUUUCUACGCUUUCACCUGGAGAGAGGAGCUGCUCUUGGUUCAUUGUGAUCCAUGCCUUUUCCUCUCCCUGACUUGUGUCAGGUGGCUAACCUGGGGGAGUGCCAAAGAAACAAUAACUACGUUUUCAUCCUGGUUUGGGGAGGCUGCUAAUUUCCCUUGACCUCCAGCUGGUUUCCAAGCUGUUUUAGGAGAGGAAGACAGAGUUUCCAAGUUAGGAGAGGAAGACAGAGUUCCAAGUGAAUGCCAUCCACAUACCACCUUCCCAGACCCCAUAGCUCACAGGCCCCCAUAGGUCAUCAGCUCUUACUUUCUCCCUCUGGAAAGGAAUGGAAGAAGAGGUGAAAUGUUACUUCAUUUGGAAGCCUCCUACCAUCUCUAUCUGAACCUGGCUCCCUCUCCCUAGGCAGCAAAACCAAAUUCCCAAACCUACCUACGUCAGCGAUGGCCUGCUUGAUAUUUCAGAGAAGAGGGACCCCUGAGGACUUCACCUCAGAUUCUUGGAAGAAUGUGAUUCAGUCCACAGUAGCCUUUCAGAGACUGUAUACUCAAGCCAGACCAAAGUAUCCCUCUUCCCAUUCAGAGCCAGUGAGGACCUGUCUCUGUCCCUGCUCCUCCUGUGCCCUCUGUGUGCGGUGUCCUUUCCCAUCUCCUGCUGGCUUACAUGGCUUCAAGCUCCACCUCAAAGCGUCCUGCACCAGGCAUUGCCAGCGAUCUCCCCUUCACAAUGGUCUAGCUCCUAUGGUCUGUGUCUCCUUAUUUCUUCUGACCUUCUUUCUUUCACCCCUGUGUUAUAAAUGUACUUGUUCUAACUUCCCCCACUGGGCUAUAGGUUUCUUUAUGUUACAGAACACAAACCUACCAUUCACUUUUGUUUCCCCUAUAGGCAUUCAGCAAAUGAACCCUUAACCUAAAAGCUGCCCAAGUUUCUGGUGCCCAGGGAAAAGCUGCUUAUUUCUGUUUCUUCUGGGGCACUUCCUAAGCUGUCCCUCUUUCAAAACACACUUACUUCCUGCCAUCUUCCAAUUCUCACUCCCAGGAAGCUCCCGACAGAGCUCUAUUUUCCAGAAUCAGGGAGAGGCGCCUGGGUUCUUUCCCAGCACACGCCUGUGUUCUACAUCCCCACCCAAUACCACAUUAACCUGCAGGCAGGGGGAGGUGCCAAGCAGUGCCCACAAACAACAGCUCUUCCACGCUCCUCCGUUCCCUCCCCAGUGUAAACCCAUCACACGACCUUGCUCCACUCACUUUAGGGAGAAGUUUGAGGCUCCCCUGCAGAUGUGCUCCCACUUCACAGGGAGGCAGUGGGCACAGUGGAAAGCUCAGUGGCCCACAAGUUGGAAACCCAGGCUCUCAGCUUUCUCUGACUCUGAUAUCUUGAAAAGCCAUUUCUCUUCCAGAUCUUGUCUCUAUAAAAAUAAAAUUAGUGCCUCCCAAACCUUUUCCAGCUGCAUAACCCUUUGUUUAAGUGAAAUCUUACAUGAAAACGAAG
rnacentral:lncRNA from 1 species